rnacentral:rRNA from 1 species
GAUGAACGCUGGCGGCGUGCCUAAUACAUGCAAGUCGAGCGAACGGACGAGAAGCUUGCUUCUCUGAUGUUAGCGGCGGACGGGUGAGUAACACGUGGAUAACCUACCUAUAGGACUGGGAUAACUUCGGAAAACCGGAGCUAAUACCGGAUAAUAUUUUGAACCGCAUGGUUCAAAAGUGAAAGACGGUCUUGCUGUCACUUAUAGAUGGAUCCGCGCUGCAUUAGCUAGUUGGUAAGGUAACGGCUUACCAAGGCAACGAUGCAUAGCCGACCUGAGAGGGUGAUCGGCCACACUGGAACUGAGACACGGUCCAGACUCCUACGGGAGGCAGCAGUAGGGAAUCUUCCGCAAUGGGCGAAAGCCUGACGGAGCAACGCCGCGUGAGUGAUGAAGGUCUUCGGAUCGUAAAACUCUGUUAUUAGGGAAGAACAUAUGUGUAAGUAACUGUGCACAUCUUGACGGUACCUAAUCAGAAAGCCACGGCUAACUACGUG